GCAUGGGUUUGGAUUUAUGACAGGCCCGUCCCCCUGGGCCUGUCGUCGUAACCCAUGCCAGAGCAAACUGUGUCCCCAAACCAUUGCCUGGCCUCUGUGCCCAUAGGCUGCUGGCACUGAAGUGGUUGCACAGUG
rnacentral:snoRNA from 1 species